AAAAUUCAGCAGGGAGUGAGUGUGCAGGGCAUCCUAAGUGCUCUGCUUUCGCGGGGCUUUUGCAAAUGCAAAAAGUUUGGAGAAUAAGUGGUGGGCAAGACUGGUGCCAGCCGCCGCGGUAACACCAGCGUCCACGAGUGGCAACCGUUUUUAUUGGGCCUAAAGCGUCCGUAGCCGGUUUGGUAGAUUCUUUGUGAAAUUGUCAGGCUUAACCUGCCAACGCGCAAAGAAGACCGCCAAACUUGAAACCGGGAGGGGUUAGAGGUAUUCUUGGGGGAGCGGUAAAAUACAUCACUAGCGUUCAUGAAUAUAAAUCCUGGAUGUUUACUUUGUUAUAAUCCCAAGAGGACCACCUGUGGCGAAGGCGUCUAACCAGAACGGAUUUGACGGUGAGGGACGAAAGCUAGGGAAGCAAUCCGGAUUAGAUACGGGAAAUCAUAUCUGGUUUCUGGAGUUAUCUCGUGAAUUGCUUAUUAAAAACUAUCGCGAGAUGGCAAAAGAAAUCGCCAAAUGGUGAUUUACCCGCUAACUACCCAAGUAGUCCUAGCUGUAAACGCUGCAAGCUAGGUGUUGCGAAUUCCUAGAGAAUGCGCAGUGUCGAACCGAAGGUGUUAAGCUCGCCGCCUGGAAAGUAUGGUCGCAAGACUGAAACUUAAAGGAAUUGGCGGGGGAGCACUACAAGGGGUGCGGCGUGCGGUUUAAUCCAAUUCAACGCGAAGAAUCUCACCAGGAGCGACGGCAGGAUGAAGGUCAGUCUAAAGGGCUUACCUAACAAGCCAAGAGGUAGUGCAUGGCCGCCGUCAGCUCGUGCCGUAGGGUGUCCUGUAAACCUCGCGGAGUUUUCUGGAUUGCCCGAGUGACAAAAGUCAGGCAACGAGCGAGACCUGUGUUACAAUUGCUAACGAGUCUGCAAGACGAUCGACCCAUUAUAGAACUGCCUCUGAAAAGAGGAGAAAGUGCAGGCUACGGUAGGUCUGUAUGCUCCGAAUCUUCUGGGCUACACGCGCCAACAAUGGUAGAGACAUGGGAUACACUCCGAAAGAGAAGUAAUCCUCUAACUCUAUCAAGUCAGAUUGAGGCUGUACUCGCCUCAUGACGUGGAAUCCCUAGUAUCGGAGUUACCUACUCCGGUGAAUAGUCCCUG
rnacentral:rRNA from 1 species